rnacentral:rRNA from 1 species
CCUACGUGGGCAGCAGUGAGGAAUAUUGGUCAAUGGACGAGAGUCUGAACCAGCCAAGUAGCGUGAAGGAUGACUGCCCUAUGGGUUGUAAACUUCUUUUAUAUGGGAAUAAAAUGUUCCACGUGUGGGAUUUUGUAUGUACCAUAUGAAUAAGGAUCGGACAACUUCGUGCCAGCAGACGCGGUAAUACGGAGGAUCCGAGCGUUAUCCUGAUUUAUUGGGUUUAAAGGGAGCGUAGGUGGAUUGUUAAGUCAGUUGUGAAAGUUUGCGGUUCAACCGUAAAAUUGCAGUUGAAACUGGCAGUCUUGAGUACAGGAGAGGUGGGCGGAAUUCGUGGUGUAGCGGGGAAAUGCUUAGAGAUCACGAAGAACUCCGAUUGCGAAGGCAGCUCACUGGACUGCAACUGACACUGAGGCUCGAAAGUGUGGGUAUCAAACAGGAUUAGAUACCCUUGUAGUC